UACGGAGGGGACUAGCGUUGUUCGGAAUUACUGGGCGUAAAGCGCACGUAGGCGGAUUUGUAAGUCAGGGGUGAAAUCCCGGGGCUCAACCUCGGAACUGCCUUUGAUACUGCAAAUCUCGAGUCCGGAAGAGGUGAGUGGAAUUCCUAGUGUAGAGGUGAAAUUCGUAGAUAUUAGGAAGAACACCAGUGGCGAAGGCGGCUCACUGGUCCGGUACUGACGCUGAGGUGCGAAAGCGUGGGGAGCAAACA
rnacentral:rRNA from 1 species